CUUUCCCUUCACUCCAGUUAACUCUCUGCGCUUUGUAUCGAAUACAAAAGCAAUCAGCGAGUGUAUUCACAGAAGAACAUGAAGAGGAUAAACAGGCAUGUUUGGACAGCUUCAAAUCUCAUUAAGUGUUAAGUCAAGAACACAGCAUCUUUGUCCUGUGUUUGUGUGUGCUGCUCCCACACCAGACACAUCUAGCAAUCACUCACCAUGUAGACACUCAGGUCCUCCCAUCAUGCUUUGCUGCUGUUGAGGUGGUGGUGGUGGCGGCUGUGGUUGUGGUUGGACCGUCUCCAGUCCAAGCAGUGAAGAAGAGGAGGAUGAGGAGGACAUGGAGG